rnacentral:rRNA from 1 species
GGUNGAAGUCGCCCAAUUGAUUCUUAGUGCUUGCAUUAAGAUGAUUUUGGAUCCGACUGAGUGGCGAACUGGUGAGUAACACGUGGGUAACCUGCCCAGAAGAAGGGGAUAACACCUGGAAACAGAUGCUAAUACCGUAUAACAACAAGAACCACAUGGUUCUUGUUUGAAAGCUGGCCUUUGUGCUAGUGCUUCUGGAUGGACCCGCGGCGUAUUAGCUAGUUGGUGAGAUAAUAGCUCACCAAGGCAAUGAUACGUAGCAGACCUGAGAGGGUAAUCUGCCACAAUGGGACUGAGACACGGCCCAUACUCCUACGGGAGGCAGCAGUAGGGAAUCUUCCACAAUGGACGAAAGUCUGAUGGAGCAACGCCGCGUGAGUGAAGAAGGGUUUCGGCUCGUAAAACUCUGUUGUUAGAGAAGAACAGCCGUGAGAGCAACUGCUCACGGUAUGACGGUAUCUAACCAGAAAGUCACGGCUAACUACGUUCCACAGCCCGCGGUAAUACGUAGGUGGCAAACGUUGUCCGGAUUUAUUGGGCGUAAAGGGAGCGCAGGCCGUUUUAUUAAGUCUGAUGUGAAAGCCUUCGGCUUAACCGGAGAAGAGCUUCGGAAACUGAUAAACUUGAGUUCCAAAAAGGAUUGUGGGANUNCNNUGUAANCGGUGAAAUGCNUAUAUUUUUNNNNGAACACCAAUGGGCAAAGGCNGCUANUNUUGUUUUUAACUNANNCUGAGCUNNAAANCCNUGGGNUNCAAAACAGGUUU